GGUUAAGCGACUAAGCGUACACGGUGGAUGCCUAGGCAAUCAGAGGCGAUGAAGGACGUGCUAAUCUGCGAUAAGCGUCGGUAAGGUGAUAUGAACCGUUACAACCGACGAUUUCCGAAUGGGGAAACCCAGUGCAAUCCGUUGCACUAUCGUUUGAUGAAUACAUAGUCAAACGAAGCGAACCGGGGGAACUGAAACAUCUCAGUACCCCGAGGAAAAGAAAUCAACCGAGAUUCCCCUAGUAGCGGCGAGCGAACGGGGAGCAGCCCAGAGUCUUAAUCAGCAUUAGCAUCAGGAGAACGGUCUGGAAAGUCCGGCAGUAAAGGGUGAUAGCCCCGUAUCCGAAGGUGUUAGUGUUGUGAGAAGGUGUUAGUGUUGUGAAC
rnacentral:rRNA from 1 species